rnacentral:rRNA from 1 species
UACGGAGGGUGCGAGCGUUGUCCGGAAUCACUGGGCGUAAAGGGCGCGUAGGUGGCCUGUGGAAAUCUGCGGUGAAAGCCCGGCGCUCAACGCCGGGUCGGCCGUGGAUACUCUCGGGCUCGAGCUUACUAGAGGCAGAUGGAAUUCCGGGUGUAGCGGUGGAAUGCGUAGAGAUCCGGAAGAACACCGGUGGCGAAGGCGGUCUGCUGGGGUAAUGCUGACACUGAUGCGCGACAGCGUGGGGAGCAAACAGG